rnacentral:rRNA from 1 species
AUUGAACGCUGGCGGCAGGCCUAACACAUGCAAGUCGAACGAGUGGCGGACGGGUGAGUAAUGUCUGGGAAACUGCCCGAUGGAGGGGGAUAACUACUGGAAACGGUAGCUAAUACCGCAUACCAUCGGAUGUGCCCGGAUGGGAUUAGCUAGUAGGUGGGGUAACGGCCCAACUAGGCGACGAUCCCUGGCUGGUCUGAGAGGAUGAACAGCCACACGGGAACUGAUACACGUUCCAGACUCCGACGGGAGUCAGCAGUGGGGAAUAUUGCACAAUGGGCGCAAUCCUGAUGCAGCCAUGCCGCGUGUAUGAAGAAGGCCUUCGGGUUGUAAAGUACUUUCAGCGGGGAGGCGUUACCCGCAGAAGAAGCACCGGCUAACUCCGUGCCAGCAGCCGCGGUAAUAC